rnacentral:sRNA from 1 species
GCAGCGGUGGCCGCGGCUGCAGAGCGGGUGUGAGGGGGCUGGACCGCGCUGCAGGCCUCGGCAGGGCGCGGCAAGAUGGAGGUGACGGGGGUGUCGGCACCCACGGUGACCGUUUUCAUCAGCAGCUCCCUCAACACCUUCCGCUCCGAGAAGCGAUACAGCCGCAGCCUCACCAUCGCUGAGUUCAAGUGUAAACUGGAGUUGCUGGUGGGCAGCCCUGCUUCCUGCAUGGAACUGGAGCUGUAUGGAGUUGACGACAAAUUCUACAGCAAGCUGGAUCAGGAGGAUGCACUGCUGGGCUCCUACCCUGUAGAUGAUGGCUGCCGCAUCCACGUGAGGACUCUCUACCUGGGACACUCCCCGCCCCACCUUUCAUUUGGUUAUUCAACAGACACUUGCUGGGCUUUGCCCUCAGUCAUACCCAAGAUAGGUCCUGCCUUCGUGGAGCCUCCAGUGCAGCCUGACGAGAGACAGACCCAUCAUUAGACAGGGACAGCCUAGAGUGGUCUGGGCUGGGAUCAGGAAAUCCCAGGGGACUGGGGCCACCAAGAAGAGGUGCCUGACUCCACCUGGGAGAAUCAGAGAGGGCUUCCUGGAGGAAGGGAUGUCUGAGCUGAGGGAUGACGAAAGGAUGACUUAAGAGAAAGAGGUAGAAAGGAGGGAGCAGGGUGUACGGAGGCCUAGAAUGUGAGGUAGGUCACGGUGAGCAACCAGGCUGGACAGCUUGGGAGAAGCCAGAACACGGAGGAUUUCUUUGUGCAUCCGCUCAGCACAUCCUUUCUGUCUUUUUUUGAGACAGAGUCUCACUCUGUCACCCAAUCUGGAGUGGAGUGCAGUGGCACUAUCUGGGCUCACUGCAACCUUCACCUCCUGGGUUCAAGUGAUCCUUGUGCCCCAGCCUCC